rnacentral:rRNA from 1 species
AUGCAUGAAGUUCUGCCUCAUGAGGAGUUCACGCGCAUGGUGGUGACACUUUGGGCGAUAUGGAAGGCACGGAGGAGAGCUAUUCAUGAGGGUAUAUAUGACAGUCCGUUGCAAAUCAAUCACUUCAUCAAUUCUUUCUUGAGGGACAUUCAAAUUCUAGCGAUACCGAACCAGACAAUCAAGAGCACUUUGAGCAGACCAUUACAGUGGUUACCACCACCACAAGAUCAUGUGAAGAUGAAUGUUGACGCUGCAGUACUAAAUGAUAAUAUGGGAGCCGUUGUUGUGGUCUGCAGAGACAACAAUGGAGUAUUUUUGGGUGCAUCGGCAAUCACUUUCAAACAUAUACAUAACCCUGUUACACUUGAAGCUUUGGCAGUACGGUCCAAGGAAGGGUCCGACCACUUUGGGUCUAUAGUACGCAGCCUUUCCCUACAUUUCUGUAAGAGGCUGUUUCCAGGACUUGAACCCAUGACCUCAUGGUCACAAGGCAGCAGUUGCGGAGGAUCUGGUCGAACCACGCUCGAUUCGCCCCGAUCCCUAACCCCCUCCAUCGAAUCCGUGGGCACAUAUCGACUCCUCUUGAUCCCGUCGACCGAUUCCAGAACUGAGUGCUCGCGACCAGCCUCGAUUUCGAGCUCCUCGAUCUCGCCAGUCUCCGCUUCGCCAUCAAGCUUCGCCGGUCGAUGCCGUCGCCUACAGAGGUCCCCGACGAUCCCCUACUGCUCCUUCCUUUCCCUCCCUCUGCUCGGCGUGACCCUGAUCACUUUCCCCUUGAGCAGAGCACCAGAUCGAGCACACGCAUCAAGAACUGAAGCUCCAGAACUCCGCCGGAAUUCGUGUGCAUUGCCACCGCCGCCCUACGAAGAGAUCGCCGUCGUCGUCUACAUCAGAGCCACUUCCGUACCAUGCCUCACCCGCGCGUCAUCUCUGCAUCACGGGAGAAUACACCCGAAGCCACCACCAUCUUCCUCUGUUUCUGGUGACCGCGCGUGCAGAGUCACUUUGGCCAAUCACGUGAUGACACGUGGCGAUAUGUUACAGUAG